rnacentral:rRNA from 1 species
UACGUAUGGUGCAAGCGUUAUCCGGAUUUACUGGGUGUAAAGGGAGCGCAGGCGGCACGGCAAGCCUGAUGUGAAAGCCCGCGGCCCAACCGCGGGACUGCAUUGGGAACUACCGGGCUGGAGUGCCGGAGAGGUAGGCGGAAUUCCUAGUGUAGCGGUGAAAUGCGUAGAUAUUAGGAGGAACACCAGUGGCGAAGGCGGCCUUCUGGACGGUGACUGACGCUGAGGCUCGAAAGCGUGGGGAGCAAACAGG